AGAGUUUGAUCCUGGCUCAGAUUGAACGCUGGCGGGAUGCUUUACAUGCAAGUCGAACGGCAGCACGGACUUCGGUCUGGUGGCGAGUGGCGAACGGGUGAGUAAUGUAUCGGAACGUGCCUAGUAGCGGGGGAUAACUACGCGAAAGCGUAGCUAAUACCGCAUACGGCCCGGGGGAAAGCGGGGGACCUUCGGGCCUCGCACCAUUAGAGCGCCGAUAUCGAUUAGCUAGGGUAAAUGGCUCACCAAGGCGACGAUCCGUAGCUGGUUUGAGAGGACGACCUCAGCCACACUGGGACUGAGACACGGCCCAGACUCCUACGGGAGGCUGCAGUGGGGAAUUUGACAAUGGGGGAAACUCCUGAUCCAGCCAUCCGGCGUGUGCGAUGAAGGCCUUCGGGUUGUAAAGCACUUUGGCAGGAAGAAACGGCACGGAUAAUACCCCGUGUAACUGACGGUACCUGCAGAAUAAGCACCGCUAACUACGCCAGCAGCCGCGGUAAUACGUAGGGUGCAAGCGUUAAUCGGAAUUACCGGGCGCGGCAGGCGGUUCGGAAAGAAAGAUGUGAAAUCCCAGAGCUUAACUUCUUUGGAACUGCAUUUUUAACUACCGAGCUAGAGUGUGUCAGAGGGAGGUGGAAUUCCGCGUAGCAGUGAAAUGCGUAGAUAUGCGGAGGAACACCGAUGGCGAAGGUGCCUCCUGGGAUAACACUGACGCUCAGCACGAAAGCGUGGGGAGCAAACAGGAUUAGAUACUCCUGGUAGUCCACGCCCUAAACGAUGUCAACUAGCUGUUGGGGCCUUCGGGCCUCUGGUGAAGGCAGCUAACGCGUGAAGUUGACCGCCUGGGGAGUACGGUCGCAAGAUUAAAACUCAAAGGAAUUGACGGGGACUCCGCACAAGCGGUGGAUGAUGUGGACGACCUGAUGCAACGCGAAAACCUACCUACCCUUGACAUGUCUGGAAUCCCGAAGAGAUUUGGGAGUGCCUGCAAGAGAACCGGAACACAGGUGCUGCAUGGCUGUCGUCAGCUCGUGUCGUGAGAUGUUGGGUUAAGUCCCGCAACGAGCGCAACCUCUUGUCAUUAGUUGUUACUGAAAGGGCACUCUAAUGAGACUGCCGGUGACAAACUGAGGAAGGUGGGGAUGACGUCAAGUCCUCAUGGCCCUUAUGGGUAGGCUUCACACGUCAUACAAUGGUCGGGACAGAGGGUCGCCAACCCGCGAGGGGGAGCCAAUCCCAGAAACCCGAUCGUAGUCCGGAUCGCAGCGUCUGCAACUCGACUGCGUGAAGUCGGAAUCGCUAGUAAUCGCGGAUCAGCAUGUCGCGGUGAAUACGUUCCCGGGUCUUGUACACACCGCCUGUCACACCAUGGGAGUGGGUUUUACCAGAAGUAGUUAGCCUAACCGUAAGGAGGGCGAUUACCACGGUAGGAUUUAUAUGACUGGGGUGAAGUCGUAACAAGGUAG
rnacentral:rRNA from 1 species